UAAGGUGUAGCUCAGUGGUAGAGCGCUUACCUGGCAUAUUCAAGGUCCUGAGUUUGAUUCUCAGCACCAUAA
rnacentral:tRNA from 1 species